AGCCGAAACGCCCGCGAGGGCGUCCGCCAGGGCUGGCCGCCUGGCGCUGAUGAUGGCAGGCCAAC
rnacentral:hammerhead_ribozyme from 1 species